UACGUAGGGUGCGAGCGUUGUCCGGAAUUAUUGGGCGUAAAGAGCUCGUAGGCGGUCUGUCGCGUCGGACGUGAAAACCCAGGGCUCAACCCUGGGCCUGCGUUCGAUACGGGCAGACUAGAGUUCGGUAGGGGAGACUGGAAUUCCUGGUGUAGCGGUGAAAUGCGCAGAUAUCAGGAGGAACACCGGUGGCGAAGGCGGGUCUCUGGGCCGAAACUGACGCUGAGGAGCGAAAGCGUGGGGAGCGAACAGG
rnacentral:rRNA from 1 species